rnacentral:pre_miRNA from 1 species
AUGUGGAUCUUCUGGGAACCUUGUUGAGAUACAGAUUCUGACUCAGUAGGUCUGGGGUGGAACUUGAGAUUCUGCAUCUAACAAGCUCCUGAUGCUGCUGAU